AUGGUGCAUAUUAAGAGCCUUUCUUCUGGUCAGCCUGCAGGGGAUUGUGGGCUUCUGAAGGAGGGAGACAUAAUCCUGGCUGUCAAUGGAGAACCUGUCAGAGGCCUUUCCUAUGAGGAAGUUCUGCAUCUCCUCCAAAAAUCUCCGUCUGAGAUUAGGCUGUCAAUCUGCAGACCUUCACAGGAUGAACAUACAGAUAUUGAGAUCUCUCUGGUAACAUCCUUUCUCUAUAUGGUUGCAAACAACUCUAAAACUGACAUGUUAUUUUUCAAACUCACAUCCUUUUUUGACAGGGUCAUGACACACUUCCAACCCGUUCACUGAGAUCCAGGUCUCUAGACCUGCAGACAAGAACUGUUGGUCCAGACUUUAGUGAACUCCUCAAGAAGCAGGCAAUAGAGGUGGAUCUAAAGAAAAAAGUUUCCCCAGAGAAAACCCAGGAGAUCCCAUUGACCCAACAGAAACCAGAUACUGAGCUGGUGGAUACGACUAUAUCAGCCCCUCCACCCCUACCUCCACGCCCAUCCUCAGGUGAAGCUGGAGAACCUAAACCUCAUGCCAUAAUGGGGGAGGGGCAUGAGAGCAAAGCCCCACCCCCAACACCAAGCGAUGUUAAAGUGACAACAGCCAUCCCAGCACCAACACCAGCAGCCCCUGAAACAGCAAUUGCAACCCAUCAGCAAGAGUCAAAAAAUGAUACCAUCUCAACCAACCUUGUCUCAGCUUGUACCAGGUAAAGGCUUGUUUAUUUCUAUGUGAUAUCAUCUAUAAAAUGAUCAAUAUGUUCCUUAGAUUAUAUCUAAAUGUGUCAUUUAAUGAAUAAUCAACUUUUAUUUUUAGUUUUGAGAAUAAAGUGCUUGAGAUACA
ensembl:lncRNA